GGAUGGACUAGGUCGGGCGGUUAGGCCCCGCUCCUCGCCCACGUGUGGCCUCAAGUGGGGACCGAACGUCGGGGGCGUGCGCGCAGACGGGCGCGGGCCCCGCGAGUCAACGUCGAAGCCUCGUCCGCCGGGGACGGAGGUCCGGUUGGCUGUGCCUGCAGGGGCGCAGCCGACCGGUUAACCGGGGGCACCCCGUCAGGCGCGGAAGCGAGCAGCGAACCCUCGGACAUCCGUCGCUCGUCGGGUCGCGGGGUGGAGGAGACGAGCGGGACUACCCGUGCCCGAACGCCGUGCAAUCCCGGCCUGUCCGUCU
rnacentral:SRP_RNA from 1 species